UAAUACAUCGGAACGUGCCCAGUCGUGGGGGAUAACGUAGCGAAAGCUACGCUAAUACCGCAUACGAACUCUGGUUGAAAGCGGGGACUCGCAAGGGCCUCGCGCGAUUGGAGCGGCCGAUGGCAGAUUAGGUAGUUGGUGGGGUAAAGGCUCACCAAGCCGACGAUCUGUAGCUGGUCUGAGAGGACGACCAGCCACACUGGGACUGAGACACGGCCCAG
rnacentral:rRNA from 1 species